AAACAGUGACGGUAAUACCAGGACAUAGAAAUGAUCAUAUAACUCCUUUCCCGAGCUCAUUACAUUUCUAAAUCACCAUCUGAAAGGUAUGCAUCUCAAUUAUUGCAUCUCAGAUUUUGUUUUACUAACAAGCAAUAAACUAUCAAAGUAAACAUUCCCACUGAAAAGAAACCCCCACCAGUUGGUUUGACCCAACACCAUAAAAACCAGGAAAUUCUGAUUCUCUCUCAAACCAUUGACCUGCAUGGUGGCUCUGAACAAAGGAACAAACAAUUCUUGAGGAACGACGCUGCUUUGGUGUUUGGUUUGAAUUGUCCCCAAAGAUGAAAAGGUAUGUAACCAAAAUAUGAUUGGAAAUUGCGUGCCAAGAGUUAAAAAGGGCAGUGAGCAGACACGCGUGCUCUAGAACUAGCUAACGAGCUAAAUGUUAGCAUGCCACCUAGCCUCAGACAUGCUAGGGCAGCCUGGAAUGGUGGCCAUCUUUGUGGUAAAUCCUCAUAUGGGACGCUUCAUUCAAGAGAUUAAUUGACUGCCAUUUCAGUAAAUCAGGACAAAAGGGAUUUCCAGCGGGGCAAUAUUUGUGUCAUAGUGGUCAUUCUUAAUUAUUUUGUCAGGGAAAUAGCUUGAGCACAUGGUCAAAAAUUAGUAACUAUCAAUACAGUCUGGGUCAACUCAGACUGACACACACCAAAGACUUUCGAGGAUAUAAGGAUGAGCUUGGAAACCGUCAUCUCCAUCACUUUUCAAAUCUUCUGAAGAGAGAGAGAGAGAGAGAGCGAGCGAAAGACCAAGAACCCUCUAUGGAAAAUGCUGAUUCAGCGUCUGAGUUGUGGGAAAUUGAUGAAUUUGCCCGCCAGCAGCUAGAUCUGGAACAAGCACAGCCGCAGCAGACAUACUCGGUUACAUCCGAGUAUGUUACAUCAAUCUUUUAUCCCCCGACCCGGACGAGAUUCCUGAGGUGUACGGGUUGAACCAGCAGCAGCAGCAGCAGCAGCAGCAGCAGCAGCAGCAGCAGCAGCAGCAGCAGGACAGGCCUGUCGUUACAGAGGUGGAUCAGCAGAGGGACCAAACCACCGUGCCAGUGGUUAUCGUGUUUCCCCAACCGACCGACCAGGCAGCCAUAGGCCUUCUGUCACCCCCCCAAUCACCAACACCCGUCUCUGGAGAGACAGCAAGUGGCCAAGAAGUAGAGGAUUUUCUCACCAUUCAGAGGUCGAGGGCUCAUCUGACUUCAGAGCUCCGAGGGUUCGACGCAGAAUUGAUCAGAAAGGAAGCUCGCAGCAGAGGGGAAACUGCUGUCCUAAAUGCGCUUCUAGCGCAGAGAGGUGCCACUUCUGAAUCAGCAGAGACGCGAAGAGGCACUGAUUCAGCAUCAGAGGUUGUAUGAAGUAACCGCCUCUUUACUGCGUUUCAUGCAGCGUGCGAGACUUGAGAAGAUGCUGUACAGGGUUCUGUAAAAGAAGUGUUGUGAUUGUAACCUUUUUUUCUGGUUUGAUUUUUUUUGUUAUUCUUUUAUGCUGUGUACAUUUGUUUUUCCGCAUCUGCUAAUACAAUGGACCUAAACAUACCAGACAUGCGUGACCCAUUUUUUUGCCAUCAACCAUACUAGUACACAGAUCGAAGCAAAUCAACAUGAGCAAUCAGAUAAAUCCCAGUAAUGAACCCACAAAUGCUAAUAACAUCGUCGAUGUACAGCCUCUUCUUUGAAGAUUUAAACGUUUUAAAUAAUCCACAGAAUCAACAAGGUGCAGGAAACCCCGAUCCUCAGCCCCGCAGCGCAGCCCAGCUGUUCAAAUCAUAAUCCAGUUGAUUGAGCUCACCAUGAACCAUCAACAACUAGACGCGAGAGAUUUAACAACGUCGAAAUUAUUCAGCCUCUCGACAUUGUUAGGCGUGAAGACAAGCUUAAUUUUGCAGAAUAUUCUAGGGUGAUGGGUAUGUUGGAGACCGCUGCCGAAAGAGCCUUUCAACAGGCGGGUCGACAAGACGUGGUGCAAUUUGAGCUGAGAGGUGAUAAUCUGAAUCAUGACGCCUCUGUCAUCUUGAGGGGAGGAGGGUGACCGCAUUGUGCAAUCAAACAUGACCGUCAAUGUAAUCUGCAUGUAGUAGCGCAAAUCAUAAGAAACCCUCAUGGUGCCGGUUAAAGACUUAGCAGAAACAUUAGACAGCAAAAUCUUUAAAAAGACGUUUUUCUAUAUGUUGUCGAU
rnacentral:lncRNA from 1 species